GACGAACGCUGGCGGCGUGCUUAACACAUGCAAGUCGAACGGAAAGGCCCUGCUUGCAGGGUACUCGAGUGGCGAACGGGUGAGUAACACGUGGGUGAUCUGCCCUGCACUUCGGGAUAAGCCUGGGAAACUGGGUCUAAUACCGGAUAGGAGCCAUUUUUAGUGUGAUGGUUGGAAAGUUUUUUCGGUGUAGGAUGAGCUCGCGGCCUAUCAGCUUGUUGGUGGGGUAAUGGCCUACCAAGGCGGCGACGGGUAGCCGGCCUGAGAGGGUGGACGGCCACAUUGGGACUGAGAUACGGCCCAGACUCCUACGGGAGGCAGCAGUGGGGAAUAUUGCACAAUGGGCGCAAGCCUGAUGCAGCGACGCCGCGUGGGGGAUGACGGCCUUCGGGUUGUAAACCUCUUUUAGCAGGGAAGAAGCGAAAGUGACGGUACCUGCAGAAAAAGCGCCGGCUAACUACGUG
rnacentral:rRNA from 1 species